rnacentral:misc_RNA from 1 species
AACGCACCUUGCGCUCCUUGGUAUUCCUCGGAGCAUGCCUGUUUGAGUAUCAUGAAAUUCUCAAAAUAAGUCUUUCGUUAACUCGAUUGAUUUUAUUUUGGACUUGGAGGUCUGCAGAUUCACGUCUGCUCCUCUUAAAUUCAUUAGCUGGAUCUCCGUGAACUCGGUUCCACUCGGCGUGAUAAGUAUCACUCGCUGAGGACACUGUAAAAAGUGGCCGGGGUUGCUAAAGAACUGCUUCUAAUAGUCCAUUGACUUGGACAAUAAAUUAAUUUAUGAUCUGAUCUCAAAUCAGGUAGGACUACCCGCUGAACUUAA